rnacentral:lncRNA from 1 species
AUUUCCCUCCACCGUUGUGCAUACUCUUUGAGAGAUUCAUUAUCCUUUUUCGAUGAAUUUUGCAGUUGCAUCCUAUCAGGGGCCAUGUCAAUGUUGUACCUGUAUUGUUUCAAAAAGGCAUCGGCCAGGUCUUUCCAUGAACGAAUUCGAUUUCGCUCGAGAUGCAUAUACCAACUUAACGAUGCCCCACUCAAACUGUCUUGGAAAAAGUGAAUGAGCAGCUUGUCGUUAUGAGCAUGAGAAGCCAUUUUUCUGCAAUACAUAGUUAGAUGAUU